rnacentral:lncRNA from 1 species
GCUGUAGGAGAAAGUGAAAGGAAAGCAGCGCCUUGGACCACAAUGGCUCAAAGAGCUUUUGUCCCAGUGUUUUUUUUUAUUUGUUUGAAUUUUAUUUUAAGUUGUAUCUGGUUUCUAAUUACAACUAGCUGUUGAGGCAGUGUGGUUUUGUUGUUAUUGCUAUUGCUUCCUUAUGAGACAAGAAGAUUCAACUGAUUAAAGGCCUCUCCCUCUUUUACCUCUGAAGGUGAAAGAGCUGAGAUCUUGAGGAGCAAGUCAUUCUCAGGUGAAAUGUCUAAGGUGUAAGUCAGACUUUUCACCAUUCUCUUGAUUGUGAAUCAAAAAAAGCCAACUCUGCAGGACAUCUGUGAGAAGAUAGAUAUAUCACCUUGAGACAGAACAUCACCUCCUGGCACCAGACACACUGCUUGAUAGGCUGAGCACAUGCUGAUACUCAGGACCACUUCCCCCUUACACCAGGUGUCUUUGGAAACCAACCCUCCAGCAAAAACUGCAACUCCUCAAAUCCAGACAAUGAGAAGCCAGGCCCCUCAUCCAUCUUGAUUGCUUUCUUACUUGUUUCUGAUUCCUGUUUUCUCUGAACAUAGCUAUAUUCCUUCCGUACCAUAUAAACCCCAAAUUUAGUCAAGUGGGAGAGACAAAUUUGAGGUUUGGCUCUCACUUCUUCAGCUGAAGUCCCCCAAAUAAAAAGCCUUCUUCCCUG